CAGAAAAUAGUUUAAUAUAGAAUACCAGCUUUAGGAGCUGGAGGUGGGAGUUUAAUUCCUCUUUUUCUGA
rfam:Patagioenas fasciata monilis isolate BTP2013 Sc31e1R_6116, whole genome shotgun sequence.